UAGGCUGCAACUCGCCUACACGAAGCUGGAAUCGCUAGUAAUCGCGGAUCAGCAUGCUGCGGUGAAUACGUUCCCGGGUCUUGUACACACCGCCCGUCACACCAUGGGAGUCGGAAAUGCCCGAAGUCGGUGACCCAACCGGAAGGAGGGAGCCGCCGAAGGCAGGUCUGAUAACUGGGGUGAAGUCGUAACAAGGUACC
rnacentral:rRNA from 1 species